rnacentral:lncRNA from 1 species
UUUGAUCUUGUUCAGUACAGGCUUUAAGACAUAAACAUAUAGGGUGUGCAAAAAUGCAGAAACUUUCAGUAAUGGGUUUGGUAAGUAUACUUUGUAUUUUGUGAAAUUCUUUUUGUGUGCACAUAAAGGAAAACGUACACAUGGUUUAUGCAAUUAUUCUUUCUCAUCAAAUUGCAUGUUCUUUAAUUCCUUUCUGACUGUUAUAAGGCUUACAGAAAUACUUUUUAAAGAUGUGCUAAUUUUACCUUCAACUCAGAGGCUGAAUUUUAUGUAUUUUGACUUAUUAAUUUAUAAGUUGAGGGUAAGACGAUAGAUUCACAUUCAAUCACAAAAAGAGGGUAAGAUAACUGAUUCAUGUCUAAUCGCACUAAAAAGGUAAGAUAUCAGGUUUAAGCCUUGCUGUACCGUGAUAAAUUAAAGAUGUUGAGUUCAAGUCUCAUGAUUUGUGGCUUUAAGUCCCUUUUUAUGGAUAAGACGUUGAGUUUGAGUCUCGUGCACUAUAUUGAUGAUAUAAUUAUGACUAAAGAAAAACAAUAUAGUUUUUAAAUGAAAUUUAGUCAUAAAACCUUAUUCAAUUGAAACAACUCCAUUCCCUAAAUGAAUGUGGUAGUCGUGCAUAUUAUGUCUUAAAAAAGGCAAGUGAUUGAAUAAUGCACAUGAAUAUGGAAUGAGAUACUAAAGUUAUCAUAAUUUGAUAUGCUCACAUGUUUGUGUUCCAUUCAUGAAGAAUGAGAACUUUUGAUAAAUGCUAAAAAUAUAGAUCCAUUCUUUAAAGUGAAUGAGGCGUAAGCCACAACGCUAGAUGUGAAAAAGAUUGUAACAUUUGAUUGUAGAUGUGGUAUAUAUCAUCAAGAAUGUCUCUAGGCAGACAUAUGUUGAAGAAAGUUUCAUACUAUAUCUUUUGAUUUUUAUUGAAUAACAAUUAGUGCGAUUGAGACACUUUUAAUAGUAAAUAAGAAGUUUACUAAUUUUCAUACUUUACUAGUUCGACAUGAUCGUCUGGGACAUCAUGGAUCUAUAAUGAUGAGAUUAAUUAUAGAAAACUACAAUUGGACAUCCAGUUAAGAAUUGAAAUAUUCUUUUAAAUGAUAUAUUUUCUUGUACUGCUAGUUAGCAAGGAAGCUAAUUGUGAAACUAUCACAAACAAAAGUUGAGAUUAAGUCACUUACGUUUUAGGAACGUAUACAUAAGGAUAUAUGUCUCAUAUUCACCCAUUUAGUGGGUUGUUUAGAUUUUUCAUGGUCUUAAUAGAUGAUCCUUCUAUAUGGUCUCAUAUGUGACUGUUGUCAUCUAGCAACUUGGUGUUUGUAAAAUUGUUGGCACAAAUAAUAUGAUUACUAACACAAUUUUUUUAUCAGAUUAAGUUCAUUCGCCUUGAUAAUAAUGUAGAGUUUUUAUCUCAAGCAUUUAAUGAUUAAUGUCUAUCAAUUGGGAUUGAAAAAACUCAAUUAAAGUGAAUGUGAUAGUGAAAAAUAAAGUUCUUUGAUACAGAUUUGAUUUUACUGUGAUGGGAUCACGAUUCACCUUCAGAAAAGGUAGAGAAAUUGAGAAGAAAUAAAUCUAAAAAUUACUCUCGGAGUAGUAAAAUUGAAAUUUUCUCAUAUUAUAGUAAAGAAGAAAUUUAUUAAAUCAAAAUGCACAUAACAUAGUAAACUUGGAGUUUACAAAUACUAGUAAUAUUAUUCGUUGACAUGAAUGAUUCGAUCAUCCCAAAGAUGUGUUUACUAAGUAAUAGACAUACAUUGACGAACUAGAAUAUUCUUCAAGAAUUCUUUUGUUUCUUGUUUUCAUGAUAAGUUGAUUGAAUCAACUAAUGCUGGGACUAAAUACUUAAAGUUUGAAUAGUAUGUGAAUUUGGGCCCGUUUGUAACAACCCUAAAAAUGGAUAUGCUAAGUAAUGCUUAAUGUGUCUAGAAUGCCUACCAUUAGACCGGAUUCACACGGAUUGAUGCGCGUAGAAUCAAACCUUUGAACCCUUGCGAUAGCCAAGCAAACUAACUUGGAGAGUUAGUUGAUCUAGGAAAGGUUGGGUUCAACCAUAUAGGACUUCUGAAUAUGAAGAUUUACCCGGAUGAGUCUUUACUAGACUUAAAAAGGGAAAAUCUUAAGUUUGGAGGGUCUAGGGGUAAAAUGGUCUUUUUCUAGGAUAAGGGUAGUAUCGUAAUUAUCCUAAAUAUGUAAUUAAUUAUUUAAGUGAUAAAGUGGAGGGGAAUUAUGGGGAGAAAAGGUCGAAAAUUGGCCUUUGAGUGAAGUCUUGCUUCACCCACAUUCGAACCUAGGUGGAAGCAAUGAUUUAAAUUGUUUUCAUUUAAAUUGUAAAUUAACUUAAUUAAUUAAUAUUUAUUAGCUGAUUUAAUAAAAAGGAAAAUCAGAUUUUUAAAGGGUUGAAAGAGUCCUAGUUUGACUAAGUCCUUACCUAAGCCUAAACUACCUUUCACGUUUCACUCUCUCACGUCAAUAUCUCACCUUCACGAUCAUUCUUUUAUUUUUCAUGUUUCUAUGCAAAGAAAAAUUACUAAAGCAGAAAAAUUACUAAUAAAAAUAUAAGAAAAAUAAGCUAAUAAAAAACGUUAGGCAAAAGGGAGGGUUAUUCCGUCGAUUUGGUGUUAAAGUUGAGGGGAUUUGGACGUGAUUUUUGGAGAAGGUGUUGGGCAGAAAGUCAAGGUUUGAACUACAUAAAAGGUAUGAGUUUUCUUACUCUUGGUCCCUUUCCCAAUGGACCCCUAGGAUUCAGUCGAUUCUAAUCCAAAAACUACGAUUGUUUCCCCGUUGCAUGUCCCUGUCACUAGCUCUUAUCGAUGGUUGUAGGUAGGUAUGUCUGCUGGUAGAUAUUAGGCAUGUAAUGUAUUUUCGUGAUGAAUAUGUUCAUGAAUGCGUGUUUGGAAUCGUAUGAAUGAUAACCUAAAUUUUUUCGAAAAUGUGUUUAUGUGUGUGCAAUGUGUAGCCGUGACUUUGAACACAUAUUGAAGCAUGAAAAUGAUUUAUUUUAUGGUUGUAUUUCACGUGCACAAACUUUUAUAAAUCUGAUGUUCAUAUGAAGUAUAAGGUGACUGAUUUGAGUGGAAACUAUUAUCUAAAUGAAUCCACUAAAUGCACCCAAAGAUGUACUACAUGAUCCAAGAAUUACCCUAAGAACUAGCAUGUAAUGUUGAUGAAAAGGAUGCUGAAAACGUACAUAAUUUCCAGCUAUAUGUUGAUGAGUUUCGGUCAAGCUAAGUGGUUUAGUAUGUUAUGAAUUAAUAAAUUAAAAUAAAUGAGGUCACUGAGGAUCGAACCCGUGACCUCACCAUGUUAAAAGUCAUAGAAAUAAUGUAAGUUAAAAAGAAUGUGGAAAGGGGAAUUCAAACCAGUGACCUCGACCCAAAAUGAAGUACAAAAUAAAAGAAAAUGAGAAAUGAGAGGAGUGGGAUUCGAACCCACCACCUCACAGUCAAAUUUAAGGAAAAGUUAAAAGAAAAAUAAAAGGUUGAGGCAUGUGGGAAUCGAACUCAUGACCUCUAGGUAGAAUGAAGGGAAUUUAUGGAGAAAAAUUAAAGUGGGGCUGUGGGAGUUCGAACUCACACCCCUCGGCCAAGAAGGAGAGAAAUUAAAGAAAAUAAAAUAAAAGGAAAUGAUGUUAUAGGGGUUCGAUCCCACAUCCUCUCAGUCCCAAAUGAACGAAAAAUGAAGAGAGAAAUUAAGAAAAAAUAAAAUGAAGGUGUUGCGGCUCAAUCUUGGGUCCCCAAGCCGUGUGGAUCAAACCAAAAUAAAUAUAAGUGUUGUCCAAGGGAUUCAAAAUCGGGUUCCCUUGCCCAAAUUCCGUAUUGAUACAUAAGUUAUAUGUGAAUAAAUGUUCAAAAAUAAUGUUGCCUACAUAGAUCAAAAUCGAGAUCUUGGCACACUUACAAGAUGCAUAAGUCUUGUACCACAUAAUCUUAGGAAGAUAUGAACCACUUAAACGAACUAUGAAUGAAGUCUCAUGGCUUGUAUGUAUAAACCCAUAAGUCUAGCAUACGUUUAAAGUAAGUGAACCUAAGAUGUAUGUAACUAAAUGAUAAACCCUAGAAGAGUCAAGUAAGGGUGUGAAACACACUAAAUGGCCAAGUGCAUUGGCAUACGAUGAAAUGAACAUUCACAUAAAGGGGUGAGUAAUUAUGAAAAGCAUAUGUGCAAAAGUUAAUGAAUGAGGUAACAAUAUGAUAAGAGGAUAAUGUGAAAGAUGAGAACAAUCUCAAAUGAGCCUAAGUAAAUAUUACCAAAAUGUACUCACCUAUGAGAGUGUAAAGUUAAUAAAGAGACCAGUCUCUAUAAACACUCUAAUGAAAGUAUUGAAGUUAAUGCAUACUUAAUACUAAUGAUGAUAUGAGAAAUCAUCUAAUGAGCUAUGAUGUCCUCAUACUAGAAGUCAACUUCCAUGAUGUAUGAGUUGAAUGUAAUGAAACUUUAUGCUGAGCAUCGAUAGGCUAGCUAUUAUUGGUGAUGCCUUCCUUCGGGAAGGCGGAGGUUCACGUAACUCGCAUGAGAUGAGACUGUCCAGCAUGCCCGGUAUGGAUCUCCUUAUAUCUCCUAGUCUUUAAACCAAUACUGCAAAUAUAGGAAUCUAGUAGGGUUCAAUACCCUAUAUACACUAGCAUGUUUUGGGUUACUUUGGCCGGUGAUUCCACCUCUUUACGGUGUGGGGCAGACACUGGAUUUCAUGAUACUCACAUGAUCUAUGUUGGUUAAAGUUAAAGUUUCCCAUGAAUGAAUGAGGCCGGCAUCAAAUGAUGCACAUAAUGAAAUGAAUGAUACCAAAGGUGUUAUGAUAGGAUAAUUAGGAGGUCAUCUAGACUUAAGUAAUGACACUAGGUCAUUCUUGAUCAUUGCACAGCGAACCUGACGAAAGUCUUAAACUACAUCCCAGGUAUAGUUGUGUUUACACUAGCUUAUGAAUGUAUAAAGUGAAGUACGUAUAAAUGAAUAAAGCAGACUCUGUGUUUGCUAAAGAAGGCUCCCUAGUUGAUCCCUCAUUUUUGGGAAGUCUUGAUGUCAAGUCCAUGAUUCCAAAGUUUCAUGGCAUAUGAACGAAUGAUAUGAAAGAUGUUAUGUGUUAUAUGCAAUAUGUUAUGUGCUAUGCGUAAUACGUUAUGUGUUGUGUGAAAUAUGAUACGUAUUAUGAUGCAUGUUACUCUCAUAGCAUGACUUUCCUAAUCCAAAUUUCGCAAGUCCACUAACUUUCCUAAUCCAAAUUUGGCAAGUUUACUGACUUGACUUUUCAUAAAUCAUGUUGUUAGGAAAAAACUAUUCUUACUCAUGCAGGUCCUUGGUGUGUGCUUGCAUAUACCCAUACUUAGUACAAGUGUGUACUAAUCUCAUACAAUAUCUACUUUUAGGUGCAGGCACAAGUGGACGUUAGAUUUUACGGUACGACGUUGCAGCUAUCCGGACAUGGAGUUUACAUCCGGACUUGGUAAGACCUCAUGCUCUCGAGGAUGUCUACCUUAUUAUCUAGCUUACAUGUAGGCUUUAGCUAGUGGAGCAUGUUCCACUAGUGUUUCA